rnacentral:tRNA from 1 species
CAGAUUAUAGUUUAGUAAAAACAUUAUUAUUUACAUUAAUAAGAAGCUUAAUUGAUUAAGUUAAUUUGA